rnacentral:lncRNA from 1 species
ACCUCACAGACGUUGCUUCCCGCAACGCAGAGCUGCUCCGCCAGGCCAAGCACGAGGCUAAUGACUAUCGCCGCCAACUGCAGGCCUUGACCUGCGACCUUGAGUCCUUGCGCGGCACGAACGAGUCCUUGGAGAGGCAAAUGCGCGAACAGGAGGAGCGCCACGCGCGGGAGUCGGCGAGUUACCAGGAGGCACUCGCUCGGCUGGAGGAGGAGGGCCAAAGCCUCAAGGAGGAGAUGGCCCGCCACCUGCAGGAGUACCAGGAUCUACUCAACGUUAAGCUAGCCCUGGACAUCGAGAUCGCCACCUACAGGAAAUUGCUGGAGGGCGAAGAAAACCGCAUCACCAUUCCUGUACAGACUUUCUCCAACCUCCAGAUCCGAGGGGGCAAAAGCACCAAAGAAGGGGAAGGCCACAAAGUCACAAGACAUCUCAAAAGGCUCACAAUACAAGUUAUACCAAUACAGGCUCUCGCCAGAUUGUAAACGGAGUCCUGCCAGCACUCCGUUAGACACGUGCACUUCAGUUGUGUACUUUUCCCGGCUUGCCUUCUUCCUCCCAGGCCUCUUCUAAGGGACUGUACCGUGUCCUUUGUCCAGAACCUUCAGUACCCACGCUAGGUCCUGGCUCUGUGUAAUUAGGUUAUACUGAUAGAGCUAGCCUACGUUAAAGGUUAGGUCAUGCUAACAGAGCUAGCCUAUGCUAACAGAGCUAGCCUAUGCUCAAGGUGAGGUCAUGCUAACAGAGCUAGCCUGUGUUAAAGGCAGCAUGUCUCUGGGAGCUCAAAGGAGAUGCUCUGACCCCUCUGAGCAAAUGCCUCUGCCUCACCACUUUUGUGUCGCUAGGUGGUCCCCUUGGGGAUUGCAGUGCCUGUGGGCAGGCUCUGUGUUUGAUUCAUGUGUCCCCAGAGUUCUAUUGCUUCAUUCAGUGCUGACUCAGCCCAGAGGGUUCCCCCUGGAUGGCUGCUCUUGUAGUGAAUAAACUCUAGGUUCCCUG